UUUUCCUCUGCUAGCCUGUGCUUCUUUGAGUAGGUCCAAUUCAGUGCUACUAGUUUUAUAGGUGGAAGAACAUGAAGAAUCUGAGGCUGUGCCAGUCCAUGCUGGAGAAGUAUCUGACUGGACUGAGGAGUAGAAACCUUGGCCAUGGACCAUAAAUGUGCUGUUCUCCUUCUAUGGAUGACAGAAAAAUGGAAUCUUCUCUGUCCUUCAGAAUUUUCUUGGUUGUUGAUUUGGGAUCCUCAAUCUCUCAACUUAGUUCUCUAAUGUCAAGUAGUAUUGAAUCUUAGCAUCCUACUUUAUUUGCCCCUGUUAUUUCUGUCUACCUUUAUUUUGCCAGAACUUUGUAUGGCUAUGACAGUACUUUGUAUCACUUUAGGAUUGGCAAGGCCACAUCAGGGUAACCAGAGCCCUUACACAGGAUAGUCUUCUUGUAACACUAAUCUUGACUCAGUGGUGAGAGAGAACUUAAAACUCAGAGCAUGACCUGCCCCAGUGUGGUUCCUGAGCCUGGGAACUCAAAGCUCAACAGUCCAACCUCCUUCGUUUAUUCUGGGUUUGGACCUUUUGCAGUCUUUUCUUGUCAGUGUCAACAACUACUUCGGUAGUAGCUGGAAGUCCAGAAAUCAAGGGGUGGGCGUUUCUUGCAUGAUCUUGACCCAUGUUGGGUCUUCUAACUUCUGUCUCCACAUUCAACAUUAAAUAUACCACAUCUCUCCAAAGGUCAUGCCUGUUCCAGUAUCCUGAACUCAGUGAGGAGGUUGGACCAAGUGUCAAAGGAAUGAAGGUCAAGCUCUGGAUUUUAUCAGAGAGUCUGAGCAAGACCACUGAUGUUCUGGGAAAAACUUGACUUUCCAGUGGGAUCUUCAUCUGCUGUACAUAACCAACAACCUUUGCUGUGAUGAAAACCAGAGGAUGAUAAAAGGUGCUGCAGUUGGCAUGACUGCUGACAAGAGACACUCAGAGGUUCACUUCAAAUUCAAUAUUCAGAUCGUCUUCAUGGUCUUUUCUUAGUCUCCCCUUAGAGACAGAACUGAAAUUCACCAUGGACCACAUCUUUUACAUGAAGCUAUGGAGGAAGAAUCUUUUGGCCAUCAUCUUCAAGCCUGCAUGAGUUCAUAUUUGUGUCCCAGGCCUCGAGCUUUUGAGUCUCCAGGGGAAAACUUUUGGUGGAGUUGCUACAGGAUCUAUAUGCGAGUCUCUUUGUUUGCCUUCUGUACAUGGAUAACAGCCCCUUUGUAGGGAGGAGAACAAAGACAUGGAGAUGUCAUGCUGUUACUUGUUCAAACAGUGCAGAAGGGCAGGCAACCAACACCAGACCUUCUGGGUGCUAGGACCCUGUCACUAUCCACGGGGUAUCUAGGAU
rnacentral:lncRNA from 1 species